UUACAGCUUCAGAUCUGCUGUUGUAUGGGACCCACCGAUAUUUGGUGCAGGAUGUAGAAACAUCUAUAAAUAGGAUCAUGAACCAAUCAUGAAAGGAAGCAUACCUGGAUCCAUAAGCAAUCUGAUGAACGAUCAAGUCCUUCUUCGUAUCUCCCUCUUGGCCCUACGUUAAUGACACCCACGAUGGCUGGUUCUGUGUCGAUUUGUAGGGCCAAGAGGGUGAGACCCAUAAGCCUUAUCCUUCCAUCAAGGAUUAAGGGAGUUUCCACUUCUCUAGGAGUCAGUUACGGGAUUCAUUCUGUAACUGACCACGUUGUGGUCAUGUGGGUCAAAACCCAACAUUCUCCCACUUGGCCCAUAUGACCAUACUUUAGUUAGAAUGAUAUAAACAUUAGGCGCGCAUCAUUCUAAUCCAUAGUCACUUGGGUCAUCAUAAUACCAUAAUUAAACAACUUACUAAUGCGAGUCAAGACGGUUCCACAUCAACAUAAUGACAUAGUUCCUUUCAAGUACUACAACACUAGCAAAUUAUUUAACCACAGUCCAUAAAUGAGAAGUAUCUUUAAUGGUCAAACAUUAUGUCUUUGUCAGAGACAAUUCCUGUAAUCAUACAUUCAAACCCAUACAUGUACAUAUAUUUGAAGAACAGGAAAAACAGAAACAUAAUUAAUUAUAUCUAAGUGUCGAAGAAAUAAACAUAAUACAAUCCUCAAUUAAUAUCAUGGAUUACAACUAAGACCCAUUCUUUCAACAUGCUCUUUAAAAGUCUUCGGUUGUAAACCUUUCGUCAAAGGAUCUGCAAUCAUGAGCUCUGUCCUCAUAUUUUC
rnacentral:lncRNA from 1 species